GCUCUUUCAAAUUCCAUCUCCGCCACCUAUAUUGGGGAUGCCGGUCGCAAGACCGGCUAUGGCGAUAAACGGCUAUCGGAAUAAACCCAUCGGACCCGGGGGCGGUACCCGGCGCCUCCACCAAAGCCUAAGCUCAGCUUGGGUUUCGGCGGGGGCGAAAUAGGAUCGACGAGGGCGUAAAGGAUAGACUUUCGCUCGGCAUGGUUCCGCCGACAUCGGGCCGAUUCAAUAGUUGCCAACGACAACUAUGCUCCGGUUGCAGUGGCUGCGUAACGCGGUCCCUAAUACCGACUCAAAGCCCUAGCGGUUAGCACCGUUAGGCGGGGUUCGGAGGCACCUGGCAACAGAAGCCUCCACU
rfam:Microvirga vignae strain BR3299 T20BR3299_1_(paired)_contig_20, whole genome shotgun sequence.